UAGUUACCUUGUUCACUACAUAAUUUACCUACUGAUGUAACAUUAUUGAUGGAUAUUUUACCGUAUCAUGCAGUUAUGAGUGAAAGCAAAGAAUUAGUCAAUGUUGGUGAUUUUGUGAAAUUAAAUUCUACUAAUGUUAAAUUAGGUGUCUUACUUGCUUGUGGAAGAUUGGUAGAUUAUGAUGGA